rnacentral:rRNA from 1 species
AGCAGCCGCGGUAAUUCCAGCUCCAAUAGCGUAUAUUAAAGUUGUUGCAGUUAAAAAGCUCGUAGUUGAAUUUCGGGAUCAUUAUGUUGGUCGUGCCUUGGUACGUACUGGCAUUAUUGAUUCCUACCUUCUGAAGAACUUCGAUGUCAUUAAUUUGGUGUCUUGGGGAAUCAGGACUGUUACUUUGAAAAAAAUUAGAGUGUUUAAAGCAAGCUCACGCUUGAAUACAUUAGCAUGGAAUAAUGAAAUAGGACGUUUGAUUCUAUUUUGUUGGUUUCUAGGAUCGACGUAAUGAUUAAUAGGGAUAGUUGGGGGCAUUAGUAUUCAAUUGUCAGAGGUGAAAUUCUUGGAUUUAUUGAAGACUAACUACUGCGAAAGCAUUUGCCAAGGAUGUUUUCAUUAAUCUAAGAACGAAAGUUUAAGGGGAUACGAAGACGAAUCAGAUACCGUCGUAGUCUUAACCAUAAACUAUAGCCGACUAGGGAUCGGAUUGAUGUAGUUUUUUAAAUGUACUACAUUC